GUGGCAGUAGUGCGCCGCUCUUUAGCAAUCACGUCACAUCAGGAAUACCCAGUAAACACAGCAGCAACAUCAGGACGAAUAUUAAGCUAGUAAAGCAGGAGUUGGACAGAAAGGAGUAGCUUCCCUCCAGUAGUGAUGUGUUUAUCUCAUCCCGGUUAGUGUCAGAGGUUUAUACGUAAACCUCUCCCUCCCUGUCCUUGAAGACCUCCACCGACCUACCACCACCUCCUUCCUCCUCCUUUGGCUCCUCUUCCUCCCUCCAUCCAUCCCUGUGAUGCCUCCCUCGUGCUCUGGCUGUCUGUCACAGUACACCCAUCAUCAUCUGGUGGUUUUUCUCCUCACCUUCUUUAGCUAUGUGCUGCUGCAUGCAUCCAGGAAGACGUUCAGCAACGUGAAAGUCAGCAUCUCGGCCCAGUGGACGCCGUCCGCCCAGAACCAAAGCGCUGCAGCCUUCUCUCCAGGCGAGACAUGGGAGGACAAUCAUCUCUUUGCUGAUGAGAAGCAUGCUACGCUGUUUCUGGGAGCUCUGGAUUCCAUCUUCCUCUUCUCAUACGCUGUGGGCCUGUAUCUGAGCGGCGUGAUCGGGGACAGAGUCAACCUGCGCUACGUGCUCUGCUUCGGCCUGUGCGGGUCUGCCAUAGUGGAAUUUGUUUUUGGCACCCUGACCGAAUGGCUCCACAUCUACAACGUCUACCUGUACUGCGGCCUGUGGGUGCUGAACGGCCUGCUGCAGUCGGCGGUUUGGCCCUGCGUGGUGGCCGUCAUGGGCAACUGGUUCGGCAAAACGGGGCGUGGAUUCGUGUUCGGUCUGUGGAGCGCUUGUGCGUCUGUAGGCAACAUACUGGGCGCCUUCCUGGCCUCAAGUGUGCUGAAAUAUGGAUAUGAGUACGCCUUUCUGGUGACGUCUGUGGUGCAGUUUGCUGGCGGGGUGGUGGUGUUCUUUGGCCUCCUGACCUCACCGAAAGAAAUCGGUUUGCACUUUGAGUUAGAAACCGGAGUCGGUGCGGUGGAGACGGACGCGGACAGCCACCGACCGCUGAUGAGUGACGAAGAGGAGGAGGAGACGUACAGCCAACAGCGCCGCUCAGUUCAGACCCCAGACGAGCCGAUGGAGGAGCCUCCCAGAGCCAUCGGCUUCCUCCAGGCUUUCUGCCUGCCUGGAGUUCUGCUUUACUCCCUGGCGUACGCCUGCCUGAAGCUGGUCAACUACUCCUUCUUCUUCUGGCUUCCCUUCUACCUGAGCAACAACUACGGCUGGAAGGAGGCGCAGGCCGACCGGCUGUCUGUCUGGUACGAUGUCGGAGGAAUCGUCGGGGGAACCCUUCAAGGUCUGAUCUCUGACCUCAUGGGGAAGAGAGCUCCAGUGUUGGUUUUCAGCCUCGCCAUGGCGAUGGGCGCCCUGGUGGGAUACAGCCGCUCCCCUGAUGACAAGGUGAUUAACGCAGCGAUCCUCGCCGCCACCGGCUUCUUCAUCGGCGGCCCGUCCAAUAUGAUCAGCUCGGCCAUUUCUGCUGAUCUGGGGAGACAGGAUGUCCUGAGGGGAAGUCAGGAAGCUCUGGCUACUGUCACUGGGAUAGUGGAUGGAACCGGGAGCAUCGGAGCCGCUGUAGGACAGUAUCUGGUGUCGCUGAUUGAGAGCCGGCUGGGCUGGAUGAGUGUUUUCUACUUCUUUAUCGUCAUGACGGGGGGAAGUAUCGUCUUCAUCUCGCCGCUGCUGGUGAAAGAACUUCGAGACAUGUGGAGGAACAGGCAAGCUCUGCGACACCAGCUCUAAGAGCCCGACCGCCUUAUCAAGGACACCUCGGUGCGUUUGUUCCGGUUCUGAUCACUGCUUGCAACUCAAAGUUCAUCCCCCAACCACAACUAUUUGGUGCCGAAGGAUGUUGAACGAAACCUCAGGAAGAUGCCUUACACGUACUGUGAGUCAGUUUCCUCUCUGCAGGAAGUGGAAGAAGAAGAAGAAGAGAAAAGGAUGGCGGGAGAGAGCAGGUUUUUGGUUCACAGGUGCAGCGUGGGGGUUUCCACGUCCCUCUGUCCUUCAGCUGCGGAAGUGAGCGCUGCAGAGAGUCUCACCGCAAGACGCUAGCUUGUUUACGUCAACUCCCAAUUUCCUAACACGCCACAACAAAACGCAAACAAUGCAAAGAGGUGUAAAAAACGACAUACCAACGACGGGAUAGGGUUGUUAGAGAUGAAGAGAGAAAAACAGUAUAUGUAGAAGGAUUAGGAUGACUUAAAACAGAUUAAUUAAAAGAUGCACAACCUGGAAUUUCUUGAUACAUUUCCUCCAGGAGGCUUCUUCA